AUUAAAGUUGUUGCAGUUAAAAAGCUCGUAGUUGGACUUGUGUGCGCUGUCCGCGGGUGGCCUGCGCCCAAAAGGGCGUUUCGGUUCGGCCCCGGUGGCGCCUUGAAAUCUGCAGCUGGGGGGACGUUGGCCUUAACUGGUCGGCGACCGCACGCCGGCUGCUCGGUUACUGUGAGAAAAUUAGAGUGUUCAAGGCAGGCAUUGGGUGCAAUUGAAUACAUUAGCAUGGAAUAAUAAAAUAUGGCUCCUGCCGUAUUUUGUUGGUUUUGACUGGUGGGAGUAAUGAUUGAUAGGGACGGUUGGGGGUGCUAGUAUUGAGCGGCCAGAGGUGAAAUUCAUGGAUUCGCUCAAGACUAACUUAUGCGGAAGCAUUCACCAAGGACGUCCUCUUUAAUCAAGAACGAAAGUUGGGGGAUCGAAGACGAUCAGAUACCGUCGUAGUCUCAACCAUAAACUAUGUCGACUUGGGAUCGGCGGUAGUUUUUUCAUUAAGACACUGUCGGGACCACGGGAGAAAUCAAAGUGUCUGGACUCUGGGGGAAGUAUGGUCGCAAGGCUGAAACUUGAAGGAAUUGACGGAAGGGCACCACCAGGAGUGGAGCCUGCGGCUUAAUUUGACUCAACACGGGGAAACUUACCAGGUCCAGAGAUGUAGAGGAUUGACAGAUUGAAGCUCUUUCUUGAUCACUUCGGUGGUGGUGCAUGGCCGUUCUUAGUUGGUGGAGUGAUUUGUCUGGUUAAUUCCGUUAACGAACGAGACCUCAGCCUGCUAGUGUAGUCGGCUGGAUUGCCUUUGGCGAUCCGUGAUUUCGACUUCUUAGAGGGACAAUCGACGCGCAGUCGAUGGAAGUUUGAGGCAAUAACAGGUCUGUGAUGCCCUUAGAUGUUCUGAGCCGCACGCGCGCUACACUGCUGGGCUCAGCGAGUUUUACUUGGCCGAGAGGCCCGGUUAAUCUUGUGAAAUCCCAGCGUGCUUGGGCUCGCCUCCUGCAACUGGAGGCGCCAACGAGGAAUUCCUAGUAGACGCAGGUCAUCAACCUGCAUCGAUUACGUCCCUGCCCUUUGUACACACCGCCCGUCGUUCCAUAAGAGUGAGGCAUCCGGUGAAUUCUCGGGAGAGCCUGGGCGUGGCAGCAAUGGUCUGCUCGGGUUUGAACUUGCAUAAACUUGGUGCCUAUGAUUAGGG
rnacentral:rRNA from 1 species